rnacentral:rRNA from 1 species
UACGUAGGGGGCAAGCGUUGUCCGGAUUUAUUGGGCGUAAAGAGCGUGUAGGCGGCCAGACAGGUCCGUUGUGAAAACUCGAGGCUCAACCUCGAGACGCCGAUGGAAACCGUCUGGCUAGAGUCCGGAAGAGGAGAGUGGAAUUCCUGGUGUAGCGGUGAAAUGCGCAGAUAUCAGGAAGAACACCCGUGGCUAAGGCGGCUCUCUAGUACGGUACUGACGCUGAGACGCGAAAGCGUGGGAGCGAACAGG